CUCGUCCAUUUGCGCUCACGGAAAGCCCCAUAAGGAUAGCAAACUUUAUACAUCUCCAAUCAACGCUAGUGCUAUACAAAAAUCCACAAUCUGUGUUCGACAAUGGCGGACGAAGAUGUGAAUGGGGAUUCUGACGAGGUGCAGCAGGAAAAGUCACAAAAGAAAGCUGCAAAAUAUGAUAGUGGUGCUGCGGAUUUGGAAAGAGUAACGGAUUACGCAGAGGAGAAGGAAAUUUCUUCGUCCGACGAUUUCUCAUGUGCGCUAACCAUCAUCGGAGAUCGACGGAAUAAGGAAGCAGCUGAAAAAAUUGCUAAAGAGAAAGAAUUGCUCAAGGUCUCCAUUCAUAAAGACGAUGUGGAUCUUAUCAUGAAAGAGAUGGAAAUAAGUCGAAGCUUGGCUGAACGGACAUUAAGAGAGCACAGAGGAGAUGUUGUUGAGGCCCUUGUUACUCUGACCAACUGAGUUGAGAUUAUCUAUGAAAAUAUUAGCUUCUCAUUAUUCCAAGCACUAUUGUAAAUUACGCAACGUAUAUAUUUACAUAGAAAACGAGGGAGGAACUUGUAAACUGAAGUUUGAAUACGAAUAUUUAUUAUUAAUAUAAAAUAAAAACUUUAAAAAAAUACAUAAAUCCACAGACUUCUUAUAAUUUUUCAUCCACUCGAAUCAAACUUGUCAUCUUUAUCUUCUUUCUUUGUUAACGUAUAAGAUUGUACCAAAUCUGGUGUUAUUCUUUGAUCAAUGUUCCAUCGAAACGUUUCAAUUCCAUUUCUCCUUACACUAUAAUUGUGAGGAAAUUUUGCCGAAUGAAAAUUCCAAAAUCGUCGCCCUCAGCUUACUUUACAGAUGGAGAAACCAGUAAUUUGCCUCAAGAUUACAUUCUUUCUUGCAUUGUCGUUGAUCUUGUCUUUCAAAAGCCAACUGCAACAUUAUAAAAAUUCUAUUGCUAUCAUGAUUUACACAUACUCGAAAAUUGUCAAAUUGUGAAAUGAUACGGCAGCUAAUUAUUUGUGUUGGAAAAAAAAAAUAUCAAAUUUAAUUCAAUAAACAAUGCCAAUUGCUUUUUUCAUCGCAAUUAAAAUCGCUGAAAUUACCAAACAGUGAUAAAAAAUGUAUAUAGCAACUACUAAAUCCACACGUCAGAUUAUCGUAGUUAUCAUAAUCCAGCUUUGAAACGACCACUUACAUGUAUGGCCUGUAAUCAACACAAGAAAAUUUCAUCAAUGACACAAAGGACUCUGUUAUUUAAGUAAAUGAGCUUAACUACUAGGGCUUGAUAUAGUUACGGCAUCUGCUGUAAUUGAAUGGAAAACGCAUUGUAUGCUCACGAUUGCUUGUUCAAUACUAUAAUCAGAAAUAAAGUAGUUGUUAAUAAUCUUUUUUCAUACGUUCAAUAAAGAUGAUUCCUGAAAGAGAUACAAGGAUAAAAAAUGUAUGAAUAAUCAGACCCUUCAAAUUCGUCAAGGACAAAUGUUGAGUCAUCAGGUGUGGAGGAUGUAGAAAAAAAUUUCAUACUAUUCGUAACAAAGAUAUGAGGCAUGUGUGCGCAUUAUCACUGAUAGCAUUGAGCACAUAUCAGGAAACCCGAGAUUGGCUUAUGAUUGAUAGGUGGGAUAGGUAUUGCCAUUUACUUAUCCAGAACUCUUAACGUCUAGCAACAGUAUUGGCAAAAUGGAAGUUUAUAUCAGUGUUAGGUAAGUGCAUGACAGUUAAGCUCCGCGUAAUCUUAUGUAGGAGAAUGGGACUGAGUACAAUUUCCUGAAUAGACUGAUGUCUGUAUUCAAUUCUUACUAAUCAUGUUGUUCGAACUUGAAAAGUUGUUAUUGUUCUGGAUUUUUAUUCAAGAAAGUAUCGUGGCAGGUUCAUUUUCAGGUGAACUGACAAACCUUGGAGAAUCGACUUCUAAACAUAAUUUGUCUAAUUAUCAGUUUUCAAACUGUUCAUUAUAUACGAUAGCCUAUGGAUCGUCUUGUACCUGCUUCGAGUGCGAUAAGGGCCAGUGUACUAUAUGCUGCAAUUCCCCAGGCGUACCAGCAUUCACAUGCUGUUACUGUCAUGCCUGCCUGACGUCAUGCUGGAACAACGAAUGGCAGCUGAUAUCCUUUGCUCAAGUAGGAUUAUCGACCGCAUUGCUCAUUGCAACAGUCGUUACCAUUGCACUAUUCUUCAGAAUAUGCAACAGUGGAAUGCAGUUCGGGGCUGCCAGGCGACCUGGCAAUCCAGUGGUGAGAAACUCUGCGGGUAGGAUCAGCAUCUCUUCAAUUCAACAGUACGUUAUUCAAAGGCUUCAAGACAGACCUCCGAGAUACAAUGACCUAUCCGACGCUCCGCCGGUCUACGGCACAGACCCUGCAAAUAGGGUUGCAACUUCCGAAGCUCCUCCAAGUUACACGAGAAGAGCGGAACCAGCUGAAAGUGUAAAUAAUUCAACGCCAACAACAGAGUCGUCGACACAAUCGAAUACAAACGAUUCACAAUUACCUACGGCUAUUAAUCAUAUCUAAAAUACUGUAUUCCACAUAUCGAUUGUUCUCGUUUUUAUGUACCUUUUUUUUUACACAAAUAAUUAUUUUUUAAGAUUUUUUUUUUCUUUUCUUUUCUCUCUUUUGGUAAAUUUUUAUCUUCAACUAUACAAAUAGAAUCAAUCGAAUCGUAGAUAUAGAUAAAUAUAUUAUUAUGAAAGUAAUUAAAGAAUCAGUUUUCAGGAGAAACCAAAGAAUUGUAACUAUAUUGUUUAAAAAGCAUCGAAUCCGCGAAUUUGAACGCGUCAAGAGAUAAAGAUCACUUAAGUUUGUCUGCAACUUUAUCAACUGCAAAACUUUAUCAACCAACUGUUUCUACUUAAGUGUAUUGUACAUUGUAAUACUAGUAAUAAUAAUAGUAAUAAUAGUGAUAAUAAUUAAUUACCUUACCAGACAACAAGAAAUAACAUUAUAAGGGUAUUGGAAAUCAUUACAAGGUCUCAAAAAUUAUAUAAUGAAAAUGUAGUUUAUUUGAUGUGGUGCAAUGACUUAAAAUAAAUUGAAAAAAAUGAACGUCUGUAUGAGCUGGGAUUGAUGGUCAGCAAUUUGUGUACUAAAAACUGCUGCUAAGCUACCGCCUCCUCUAGUCACUACAACUUUUAUAAUUUUAAAUGCAACAUAUAAUGGAAGUAGACAAAUAUUUUACAGCAAGCAGUUGCGUAGCAGUAGUUAGUGACCCUUCUUUUUAUGCUGAUAUUCAUGAUGAGGUAACACUUGUCUUACUUGUACUUAGAUUAUCAAAUUAUCCAGUCAUACACUCAAGUAUAUGUUAUAUUCUUGCUGCAGAUUGUUAUCAGUAUUUUUCUUUCUGUCUUUUCUUUUCUUCCAUUAUUCAUUUAUUUAUUUUAUUUAUUUUUUGAGGGCGUGAUCUUUAUCUUCUCCUAUAAAUGUUUCGUCUCGAAUUAAUUUUUCGUUUUCUUAACAUCUUUAGUACGCUAUUCAAAACAGGGACAGUAGGAAAGAAAAAGUAUGAAAAAAAAAAAAAAAACAAGUACUACUGACAUUAAUCAAAUUUCUCAACGAAAUU